rnacentral:rRNA from 1 species
GUGGGGAAUCUUCCGCAAUGGACGAAAGUCUGACGGAGCAACGCCGCGUGAGUGAAGAAGGUUUUCGGAUCGUAAAGCUCUUUCGUCAGGGACGAACGUAUUUCUUGUAAAUAAUGAGAGAUAGUGACGGUACCUGAAUAAGAAGCCACGGCUAACUACGUGCCAGCAGCCGCGGUAAUACGUAGGUGGCAAGCGUUGUCCGGAAGUAUUGGGCGUAAAGCGCGCGCAGGCGGGAUAUCAAGUCUGUCUUAAAAGUGCGAGGCUCAACCUCGUGAGGGGACAGAAACUGGUAUUCUUGAGUGUCGGAGAGGAAAGUGGAAUUCCAAGUGUAGCGGUGAAAUGCGUAGAGAUUUGGAAGAACACCAGUGGCGAAGGCGACUUUCUGGACGAUGUCUGACGCUGAGGCGCGAAAGCUAGGGGAGCGAACGGGAUUAGAUACCCGAGUAGUCC